UUUGUAUAAAUAUACAAAAGUAUGAAGGCUAUUGCUUAACACAUUGUAAGCUGCCCUGAGUCUCCGGAGAAGGGCGGCAUAUAAAUCAAAUAAAAAUAAAAAAUAAAAUAAAAAUAAAUAUAAAUAAGCUGUUUCACUGUUGUACACAUCUUAACCAUUCAGAAAGUUUCCCUUAUAUUUAAGCAAUUUGUCACUGACACAUUAUUACUUCAAUAGUUCAAAUGGAUAACAGUUCCUGACCAUUUUCCCUAUAGCACCAGUUAAUGUGUCCGAAUAUUAAAUAUGAUACCAGAUUUGGUGAUUCUUAAUCCUGCAUGUCGUUACGUUUCCCCAUUCCAUCAAGUGCUUAAACGGUUACACUUUUUGAAAGUUCUUCAAACCAUAAAUCUGCACAAGCAGGGAUGUUGGCUAGAAAAUUCCCUGGGGAAACAAAAUAUACCUAGAAUACCUUCCCACUAAAAAAAAAAAAAAGUGAAGAUGUUUUAGGUGGCAUUGCUCAUGCAAAAUCCAAUUUCCCCCUGCUUAAAGGAGCUGAUACUCCCCACUCCCACCCCAGGAUGCAGUAAAAACUGAGAGAUGUACUAUUUCUGCAUUACACCAUUGCAAUUCAUUUGUUUAUGGGGCAGGGUAAUGGAAAGUAGCUGUUCCUUACAAAAGGACAGUGGAGAAAGUCAGGCCACAGAAUUAAUGGAGCAGCAAUGAAAUUUUGACUGCUUUCUGAGCCGUAAUUUGCUGCUCUGCAUCAGUUAAAGGAACAUCUGGUCUGCACAGUAAUUAAAUAGGUACAGAUGGAGGAUAGGCAAGGAUGAAGAGGAAAUAUGACAUUAAUGGAUUUUACACCUCUGAAACAUAGGGCUGUGUUUACACACUCACCGCAAAGAUCAGCUGAACAAGACAUUUACUGGCUUCUGUUCUCCAUUGGCUUAAGUUGAUCUCUUCUAUUUAUCGGGUCAUUGAGGCUCUUCAGUCAGUAAUUGUUACUUCAGUUCACUCAACACUGAAAAAUCUUGGAUGAGAAGCGAAAUGUUUUCAAGGAGAAAAAAAAAUCAAAAAAAGUUCAGAUGCCUUUUGGAAAAGCACCUUUGGGACAACCAUGAUCUGGAUCAGUGGUGGGUUGCCCCGGGUUCGGACUGGUUCGCAAGAACCAGUAGUAAAACCGGCAGGAGGCCCCACCCACCGCCCCGCAUGUCAUCAUCAGUGAUCUGCGCAGAAGCAAGGCACAUGCGCGAGCAAAGGGAGCGCACACACGCAAUCCCGUUGCAAACUGGUAGUAAAGAUUUUGGAAUAGUUGACAUUACUCUUGGAGAAAGCCUAUCUACUCCAAAAAAGAAGCUAAGAUACUCAACUAUUGCCAUUCAUGAC